UGAGGAAUAUUGGUCAAUGGGCGGAAGCCUGAACCAGCCAAGUAGCGUGCAGGACGACGGCCCUAUGGGUUGUAAACUGCUUUUAUGCGGGGAUAAAGUGGGCCACGUGUGGCCUUUUGCAGGUACCGCAUGAAUAAGGACCGGCUAAUUCCGUGCCAGCAGCCGCGGUAAUACGGAAGGUCCGGGCGUUAUCCGGAUUUAUUGGGUUUAAAGGGAGCGCAGGCCGCCGGGCAAGCGUGUUGUGAAAUGCAGUCGCUCAACGUCUGCACUGCAGCGCGAACUGUCCU
rnacentral:rRNA from 1 species